CUGACACGAUGUUAGGCCAGUG
rnacentral:rRNA from 1 species